AUCAAAAGAGAUUAAGUCAGUAGCGGUGAGCGAAAGCUUAAAAGCCAUAUAAAAGUACAGCGUGAAAAUGUUGGAAGACAGGAGUACCAAUCUUCUAAGGCUAAAUAUAAUAAACACACCGAUAGUGAACAAAGUAACGUGAGUGAAAAUAUGAAAGAGAAAUACAAGGUAUUUAGUGAAAUAGAUCAUGAAAUUGAAUACUGACAAGCAUUAAGAGUCUUUAAGAGAUGAUUAAGUACCUUUUGUAUAAUGGAUUUGUUAGUUUUCGUAAAUUGCAAGGCAAGAGCCGUAGGGAAACCGAGUAUUAAAUAUGCAAAAAACUAUUAAAAAUAAAUAGUAAUUUCUUAUAUUUGGAAAUUUAUUAGUAAUUUACGAAAUGACCCGAAACCGAGUGAUCUUAACAUGAGCAGUUUGAAUGUCCGGUAACUCUGGACGGGAGGAACGAACUAGUGGUUGUUGCAAAAACCUUGGAUGACUUGUGUUAAGGGGUGAAAGGCCAAUCGAACUCGGAGAUAGCUGGUUUUCUGCGAAAAAUAUUUAGGUAUUGCGUUUUAUUUUUAAUUUUCAGGGUCUCGCUCUGAUUCUGUAUUUGGUGUUCUUCUGGAACAUACUUUAUGGAGUUAACCGAACAAUAUGAAAUUAUUUAAAUAAAGCAGACAGACUUAGGGUGAUAAGGUCCUAAGUCAAGAGGGAAACAACCCAGAUUUAAAGUUAAGGUCUUAAAUUUAUAUUUAGUGCAUAAGGACAGUAUUAUAAAUAUAUAAGAAUUCUUAUAUAUUUAUCAUUAAUUUUAUUUUUUUUUAGUAAGAUUUUUGAUCACUAAGACAACUAAAAAGUAGGCUUGGAAACAGCCAUCUUUUAAAGAGAACGUAACAGUUCAUUAGACUAGUGAUAAUGCACCAAAAAUUUUGGUGACUAAAUAUAAAACCGAAACUUAAGUUUUUUUAAAGGUAGCAGAACAUUCUAUAUUUUUAAAUAUAGAAGAGACAAUGCAAAUAUGAGUAACUGUAAUAAACUUGAAAGAAGUUUACACCGGAAUCUUAAGGUUUCCAACUCACUGAUAAACAUAGUUGGGUACGACUCAGUCCCUAAGACUAUAUCUGAAAAGAUUUGUUAAUGGGGAUGUCUUCUUUAGACCCUAGUUUUAGGCUGGAAAGAUAGGAAGAAAAAAAUCUAAUUUUUUAUUUAGAUUUUAAUAACUGUACUAAAACUGACACAAGUGAGAAAGUAGAGAAUACUAAGGUGUUAGCAGAAAAAUCUUUAGGGAACUCGGCAAAAUUUUUCCAAAAGUUCGCGAUAAGGAAACGUAAGACAUAAAAUCGUUGUGGGCGACUGUUUAUCAAAAACCUAGCUUUUUGCUAACAUGUAAAUGGAUGUAUAAAAAGUGACCCCUGCCCAGUGAUUGUAUCUAAAAUUUUUGAGUGAAAGCUCGGAAUAUAAGGACAAUUUAAUGGCUGCGGUAACCAUAACCGUACAAAGGUAGCGCAAUCAAUAGCCAAUUAAUUGUUGGCAAGUAUGAAUGGGGUAACGAUCUACAAACUGUCCCAAAGAUUUAGCUAGUGAAAUUGAAUUAGUAGUUAAGAUGCUACUUAAUUGUUGCAAGACAAGAAGACCCUACGCAGCUUUACUGUUCUUAUUUUUUGUGAUUUUUAAAUAUUUGUAUAGCAUAAAUGGUAAGUCUAUGAAUUAAUAUCGCCAGAUAUUUAAGGAGACAAGAUUUGUAAUACCAUUCUAAUAUAUUAAAAAUUUACUAAUCAAGUAUUCUUGUAUUUUUUUACAAUUUUUGAUACAAAAAAAUAAUAGACAGUUUUGUUGGGGUGAUAGCCUUUUAAAAUGUAACAAAGGCUUACAAUAGGUCUAUUCAUAAGAUUUUGAAAAUCUUAAUUGAGUAUAAUAGCAUAAAUAGGCUUGACUGCGAGUUUGAUAAAACGAGCAGGUUCGAAAGAAGGUUAUAGUGACCCGCAGGUUCUGUAUGGAAUGGCCUGCGAUCAUAAGUUAAGUUACGCUAGGGAUAACAGCGUUAUUACUUCAAAGAGUUCUUAUCGAUGAAGUAGUUUGCGACCUCGAUGUUGAAUCGCCGCAUCCUGGGUGUUGCAUCAGCUCCCAAGGGUUGGACUGUUCGUCCAUUAAAGCGGUACGUGAUUUGAGUUCAAUUUUUUGCGACAAGAAGUCAUGAAAAAAUAAGGUGAAAUUCCUUAAUUUC
rnacentral:rRNA from 1 species